rnacentral:lncRNA from 1 species
UUUUAGGGUUAUGAUGAGAUCAUACCAGUGAGACCUAAAAUUCUAAAAUCCUAAUUUAGAAUAUUCCCAGUCAAAUUGGUAUAUUGAGUCGGGGAUCAAUAUUACCGGAAAGACUGGCACAUCUUAUGUAUGCUCAAUGUAGAGGGUGAUUGAUCUCACAAUCACACGAAGAGACACAGGUGGUGCGUCAACAUUGCCGCACGAAGAGACACAGGUGAAAAAUCCUUGUGCCCACCAUGGACCAUGAAACGCUUGGCGAACUCGAGACAACCCCUCUUAGAAGUCGACACUUUUCUGAGUGGAUAUUGUCACACCCAGUUUGUCUAACAACUGCGAGU